AGCGGGAAGAGCUCAAAUUUGUAAUCUGGCCCUUUCAGGGUCCGAGUUGUAAUCUCGAGAAGUGUUUUCCGCGCCGGACCGCAUACAAGUCUGUUGGAAUACAGCGUCAUAGUGGUGAGAGCCCCGUAACUGAUGCGGAUGCCCGGUGCUUUGUGAUACACUUUCGAAGAGUCGAGUUGUUUGGGAAUGCAGCUCAAAUUGGGUGGUAAAUUCCAUCUAAAGCUAAAUAUUGGCGAGAGACCGAUAGCGAACAAGUACCGUGAGGGAAAGAUGAAAAGCACUUUGGAAAGAGAGUUAACAGUACGUGAAAUUGUUGGAAGGGAAACGCUUGAAGUCAGACUUGCUAUUCGGAAUUCAGCCGCAAGGUGUACUUUUCGAUUUGCAGGCCAGCAUCAGUUUUUGGGGGUGGAAAAGGGUGGAGAGAAGGUAGCAACCCCGGUUGUGUUAUAGCUCUUUACUGGAUUCAUCUUUGGGGACUGAGGAUCGCAGCGCGCUUUAUUGCAAGGCUCU
rnacentral:rRNA from 1 species